GGAAAUCCAACCCUGUCUGUUUCUUCUCAGGAUUGUAAGAUAGCAUGCUCUGGCCCUUAAAGAGAGAUUGAAGCAAUUCAUUUCGAUCUUGGUUAUGGUAAGAACUGAAGGAACCAUUCUCUGAUUGUAUGUGCAAUAAAUCUUUCCCACUGUCUCCUACAGGCAAGUCAGACUCCAUAGCAACUAAGUGUGUCUGUUGAACUUCAUUAACUUGUAGAUGUGCGAGCGAUAAUUCACUGGCAGAUGAAUAUGCAUGACUUGUGGUAGAAUCCUUGUAAGAAUGUGGCACAUUAACUGCCGUCCAGGCAUCUCCACUAGCACAUAAUUGUGCUCCCGCAGUAUCUGCAGUACUCAGAUACUCCGCAUAAUCAGGUACAUUUGGAGGAGAAUGAUCUGAUUCUAUAAUGAUAUGCUUUUCUGAAUCAUUAUCUGACUCUGUACUGAAAUGUUCAUCUGAAUCUAUAUCUGUGCGGUUGCACUCACGACUGCCAGUAAGCUUCUCUCGAGAAUAGUCAUCUUCUUCCAUGUCUGUGGGGUUGCACUCAUCACCCUGUGGGAAACUGGG
rnacentral:lncRNA from 1 species